rnacentral:lncRNA from 1 species
GCCUCCCAUUAAGGUGAGUGAUAAUGAGUCCAAUAUUCCAAAUAGGCAUUGGAGGUGCCACAUGCCUGGUGUCUAUUAUAUAUUGAAAUUGUCAUUCAUCAUAUGACCAUCAUGAUGUACCUUCAGAUUAAUGCUCAGGUUGGUCGAGCCACACUCGGAUCUGGACAUCCAUUUGUUGGAUAUACUUUGUGUACUUUGUUAAUGGUUGGACCUAAUCG